rnacentral:rRNA from 1 species
AAAAGAUGGUUCUGCUAUCACUCUUGGAUGGACCUGCGGUGCAUUAGCUAGUUGGUAAGGUAACGGCUUACCAAGGCAAUGAUGCAUAGCCGAGUUGAGAGACUGAUCGGCCACAUUGGGACUGAGACACGGCCCAAACUCCUACGGGAGGCAGCAGUAGGGAAUCUUCCACAAUGGACGCAAGUCUGAUGGAGCAACGCCGCGUGAGUGAAGAAGGGUUUCGGCUCGUAAAGCUCUGUUGGUAGUGAAGAAAGAUAGAGGUAGUAACUGGCCUUUAUUUGACGGUAAUUACCUAGAAAGUCACGGCUAACUACGUGCCAGCAGCCGCGGUAAUACGUAGGUGGCAAGCGUUGUCCGGAUUUAUUGGGCGUAAAGCGAGUGCAGGCGGUUCAAUAAGUCUGAUGUGAAAGCCUUCGGCUCAACCGGAGAAUUGCAUCAGAAACUGUUGAACUUGAGUGCAGAAGAGGAGAGUGGAACUCCAUGUGUAGCGGUGGAAUGCGUAGAUAUAUGGAAGAACACCAGUGGCGAAGGCGGCUCUCUGGUCUGCAACUGACGCUGAGGCUCGAAAGCAUGGGUAGCGAACAGGAUUAGAUACCCUGGUAGUCCAUGCCGUAAACGAUGAGUGCUAAGUGUUGGGA